GAUGAACGCUGGCGGCGUGCUUAACACAUGCAAGUCGAACGAUGAAGCCCAGCUUGCUGGGUGGAUUAGUGGCGAACGGGUGAGUAACACGUGAGUAACCUGCCCUUAACUCUGGGAUAAGCCUGGGAAACUGGGUCUAAUACCGGAUAGGAGCGCCUACCGCAUGGUGGGUGUUGGAAAGAUUUAUCGGUUUUGGAUGGACUCGCGGCCUAUCAGCUUGUUGGUGAGGUAAUGGCUCACCAAGGCGACGACGGGUAGCCGGCCUGAGAGGGUGACCGGCCACACUGGGACUGAGAGACGGACCAGACUCCUACGGGAGGCAGCAGUGGGGAAUAUUGCACAAUGGGCGAAAGCCUGAUGCAGCGACGCCGCGUGAGGGAUGACGGCCUUCGGGUUGUAAACCUCUUUCAGUAGGGAAGAAGCGAAAGUGACGGUACCUGCAGAAGAAGCACCGGCUAACUACGUG
rnacentral:rRNA from 1 species